AAUGGCGAAAACUAUAACUGCUGCUCUGCGAGAGUCUAAGCUCAUAGCCUCGUUUUUCCUUGCUGGUUCGAAAUUUUUUUCUUCAGGUGCUGCUUGUCCUGUUCCUCCCACUGAGAUAAUUCGCGUUGGAUACAAGUUUGGCCGUGAACCUUUCGGGCCAGCGUAUGGCAUUCAAGUUCCGAAAGGUUCUGACGGUUUACCCGAGACUGUUAAUUGGCUUGUUGUGCCUGGGGUUGUUUCACAGAGCAAAGACCAGCGCCAUUGUGGUGGGUGCUACAUUGUUGCUGGGCUUGGAGCAUAUCUUCUUUGAACUAUCUGCUGAACAAGUCAAGUAUUUGUCUUUCGGCCCAACACAUAUUGGACGUGAAUACUGUGACCAAUCAUGGUUGCGAAGGUGGUUGGCCAGAGAAUGUAUUUGACUUCAUCAUCAGAAAUGGUGGGGUCGUAUCUGAGAAUGAUUACCCAUACUGUGCUAUCAGAGGUCCCUGCAAGGCUGUUGAGGCUGCGGGAGUUACUAUUGCUAAUUGGGCGGCUGUAGAACCGACAGAAGAAGCUGUGAAGUAUGCAGUUGCUUACCAACCUGUUGUGGCAUCAAUCUACACUGACAGCAAAUUUAUGACUUACAAAAGGAUUUCCUUAUUGUUCCUAAAAACCAUGGUCCAGUAGACCACUCUGUUCUUCUAAUCGGAUAUGGUAAGUGCCCAUGAUAGGGCGAAUGUUGGAUCGGUAUGAAUUCAUUCGAGGAGCCAUGGGGCAUGACAUGUCUCCACUACAACAACAUUUUCUAUAUACCAAGGAAUACGUGUCAUGUGGGGGGAGCCUUUGGAGUGCUGUACGAUGUUGUUCUUCCCUUGGGAGCUUCUAUGGUUCCUAAGGUUAAAACUCGAAGUGAGAGCUGCCCUUUGUUUCAAGUAGGUGGGCAUACCUAACAGCUGAUGCUUCUGGCGGCUCGUCCCAGUUCACUUUUCUUUUGGUUCCAAAACUACUUGUCCCAUGGAGUUUGAGUUAUGUUUGGAGUCUUGGCUCUGAGCUCCUGAUAAACCUGUGAUCUGAUGCUGCACUUAUACCAUCGUGUCUUGACUCUUGAGUUAUGUAUUACAUCCGUCCCAAAUUACGAGAUUUAGCUAGAUACAUUUGUAUCUACACAAAUGAAGACAAAUAAUUUGGGACGGACGGAGUAUAAACAGAAUGAUGUUGGGCAGCGGAAAUUUGUUUUGGCUCUAAGUUUCAUAUGCA